rnacentral:rRNA from 1 species
CCUACGGGAGGCAGCAGUGAGGAAUAUUGGUCAAUGGACGAGAGUCUGAACCAGCCACGCAGCGUGAAGGAUGACUGCCCUAUGGGUUGUAAACUUCUUUUAUAAAGGAAUAAAACGAGGCACGUGUGCCUUUUUUCAUGUACUUUAUGAAUAAGGAUCGGCUAACUCCGUGCCAGCAGCCGCGGUAAUACGGAGGAUCCGAGCGUUAUCCGGAUUUAUUGGGUUUAAAGGGAGCGUAGAUGGGUUGUUAAGUCAGUUGUGAAAAUUUGCGGCUCAACCGUAAAAUUGCAAUUGAUACUGGCAGUCUUGAGUACAGUUGAGGUAAGCGGAAUUCGUGGUGUAGCGGUGAAAUGCUUAGAUAUCACGAAGAACCCCGAUUGCGAAGGCAGCUUACUAAACUGUGACUGACAUUGAUGCUCGAAAGUGUGGGUAUCAAACAGGAUUAGAUACCCGGGUAGUC